GCCCUACGGGGUGCAGCAGGCGCGAAAACUUUACAAUGCUGGCAACAGCGAUAAGGGAACCUCGAGUGCCAGGUUACAAAUCUGGCUGUCGAGAUGCCUAAAAAGCAUUUCAUAGCAAGGGCCGGGCAAGACCGGUGCCAGCCGCCGCGGUAACACCGGCGGCUCGAGUGGUAACCGUUAUUAUUGGGUCUAAAGGGUCUGUAGCCGGCCGGAUAAGUCUCUUGAGAAAUCUGGCAGCUUAACUGUCAGGCUUUCAGGAGAUACUGUCUGGCUCGAGGCCGGGAGAGGUGAGAGGUACUUCAGGGGUAGGGGUGAAAUCUUGUAAUCCUUGAAGGACCACCAGUGGCGAAGGCGUCUCACCAGAACGGACCUGACGGCAAGGGACGAAAGCUAGGGGCACGAACCGGAUUAGAUACCCGGGUAGUCCUAGCCGUAAACGAUACUCGCUAGGUGUCGGCCACGGCGCGACCGUUGUCGGUGCCGUAGGGAAGCCGUGAAGCGAGCCACCUGGGAAGUACGGCCGCAAGGCUGAAACUUAAAGGAAUUGGCGGGGGAGCACCACAACGGGUGGAGCUUGCGGUUUAAUUGGAUUCAACGCCGGAAAUCUUAC
rnacentral:rRNA from 1 species